rnacentral:rRNA from 1 species
GUAGGGAAUCUUCCACAAUGGGCGCAAGCCUGAUGGAGCAACACCGCGUGAGUGAAGAAGGGUUUCGGCUCGUAAAGCUCUGUUGUUAAAGAAGAACACGUAUGAGAGUAACUGUUCAUACGUUGACGGUAUUUAACCAGAAAGUCACGGCUAUCUACGUGCCAGCAGCCGCGGUAAUACGUAGGUGGCAAGCGUUAUCCGGAUUUAUUGGGCGUAAAGAGAGUGCAGGCGGUUUUCUAAGUCUGAUGUGAAAGCCUUCGGCUUAACCGGAGAAGUGCAUCGGAAACUGGAUAACUUGAGUGCAGAAGAGGGUAGUGGAACUCCAUGUGUAGCGGUGGAAUGCGUAGAUAUAUGGAAGAACACCAGUGGCGAAGGCGGCUACCUGGUCUGCAACUGACGCUGAGACUCGAAAGCAUGGGUAGCGAACAGGAUUAGAUACCCCAGUAGUCC